rnacentral:rRNA from 1 species
GGCCUCCUGUAUAUAUAGGAGGUCUGACCUGCCCAGUGAAUAAAGGUUUAACGGCCGCGGUAUCUUGACCGUGCAAAGGUAGCAUAAUCAUUAGUCUUUUAAUAGAGGGCUGGAAUGAAAGGUUUGACGAAGUUCUGACUGUCUCAUUUAAUUUGAGGUUAGAAUUUAACUUUUCAGUCAAAAGGCUGAAAUAGUAUUGGAAGACGAGAAGACCCUAUAGAGCUUUAUAUUUAUGGUUUUAAUUAGGUUUUGUUUAUUAUUAUUAUUUACGGUCAUAAUUAUUUUGUUGGGGUGACAAAAAUAUAUAAUCAACUUUUUGAUUAAAUUUACAUUGAUUUAUGAAUUUAAGAUCCAAUCUUAUUGAUUGCUAGACUAAGUUACC